AUGAAUACAAGUCAAUGUUUUAGUGACUUAUUAUGGAUGCCGCACAGCCAACAUAAAAUAUCCAAAUCUUGGGAAAAUCCUAACAUUUGCUUGAAUGUUCGGUGUCAUCGUGUUGGCAUUCCAGUGGAUCCUCUUUGUAGCGCAGCCUUAGAGAACCUUGGUUUUUAUCAAAUUGCAAAAAUGAAGAAAAUCAAUGUCGACAAAUAUUUGAUAUCAGCAUUGGUCGAGCAUUGGCGGCCUAAGACAAAUAGUUUUCAUUUACCUAUAGGAGAAAUGACUGUUACACUACAAGAUGUGAGUUGUUUGUGGGGGUUGCCUAUCCAUGGUAAACCACUUAUUGGCAAAGUUGAUGCUGCAUGGUCUGGAUUGAUUGAGAGGUUGCUUGGGAUUCCUGUAGAUGAACAACACAUGAAGCAAAAGAGAAGGCGGAAAGAUGAUGACAAUGUUGCUGUGAAGAAUUCACAGUACUCUUUAAAUUUGGGUAAACUACGAGAACGCUUCCAGGUGAUGCCGGAUAAUCCAGUGGAUCGAGAGAUUCAUUGGCAUGCUCAAGCGAUUGUUCUAGAAAUCCUUGGCUCCACGGUGUUCACUGAUACAUCUGGAGAUGGAGUGCCAGCUAUGUAUCUUCAGUUUAUGCAGAAUGAAGGGAAACCAAUAGAGUAUAAUUGGGGAGCAACUGUUCUUGCUAUGUUAUAUAGACAGUUGAGCAUGGGGGCUGAGAAGGAGAGAUUAGAAAUUUCAAGGCCUUUGUUGCUGCUACAGUUAUGGUCCUGGUCUCAUUUGCCACUUGGUCGCCCUAAAAAUAUUGUUGAGAAGCCAAAGGAAAGGGAGGAACCUGGAGAUGAGGAAGAUGAAGAAGUAGACUUGGAUUAUAACCCUAUUGAUUUG
rnacentral:rRNA from 1 species